UACGGAGAGUUUGAUCCUGGCUCAGGACGAACGCUGGCGGCGUGCUUAACACAUGCAAGUCUACGAGAAUAAGGUAGCAAUAUCUUUAGUAAAGUGGCGCACGGGUGAGUAACACGUAAGUAAUCUACCCUUAGAUUUGGAAUAACCCCGAGAAAUCGGGGCUA
rnacentral:rRNA from 1 species